AUGAGUACAUUAUGCUGGAACUGUCGCGGAGUGGGCAAUGCCGCAACAGUUCAAGAGCUUCGCGAAUUCGCGAGGAAGUUUGCCCCUACCCUCUUGUGCAUUGUUGAAACACAAAUAGAAGGAGCUAGGGUAGAAAAUUUAGCAAGUUCCUUGGGAUAUGAUUGUUCUUAUGCAGUGGAUAGUCAAGGUAGAAGUGGAGGAAUAGGACUUUUUUGGAACAAUGAAAUAAAGAUUGAUAUUUUGGGUUAUUCGUGCUAUCAUCUUGAUGUUUCUGUUAAAGAAGAAGGGCACGAUUUAUGGAGGCUGACAUGCGUCUAUGGGGAGGCCAAAACCCACCUGCGACACUAG
rnacentral:rRNA from 1 species